rnacentral:rRNA from 1 species
UACGUAGGGGGCAAGCGUUAUCCGGAAUCACUGGGCGUAAAGGGUGCGUAGGCGGCCAAUAAAGUCAGAGGUGAAAGGCUACGGCUCAACCGUAGUAAGCCUUUGAAACUUAUUGGCUUGAGUGCAGGAGAGGAGAGUGGAAUUCCUAGUGUAGCGGUGAAAUGCGUAGAUAUUAGGAGGAACACCAGUGGCGAAGGCGACUCUCUGGACUGUAACUGACGCUGAGGCACGAAAGCGUGGGGAGCGAACAGGAUUAGAUACCCCCGUAGUCC